rnacentral:SRP_RNA from 1 species
UUAAUGGCUAGGCUGGGUGGUUGAUCCUCACCUGUAACGUCAAACGGAUCUCGGACGAGUCGAAGCAAAAGGGGCGGCAUGAUGAGUGUCAUCAGUCCUUUGUUGUUUGUUAAUCCCCUGUCCUGUUUGGUCGUUAUUCAUACUAACCUGGUCAGGCCUUGACGGGAGCAGCCAUACGUUUGCGUAUCGGUGUUUGCAGGGUCGCAGGGAGGAGAAUAACAUUGGGUUAAGCUGAAGGUGUUUGUUUAUGUCCACCCUUUUGCACGCCACUUA